rnacentral:rRNA from 1 species
UACGAAGGGGGCUAGCGUUGCUCGGAAUCACUGGGCGUAAAGGGUGCGUAGGCGGGUUUUUAAGUCAGGGGUGAAAUCCUGGAGCUCAACUCCAGAACUGCCUUUGAUACUGAAAAUCUUGAGUCCGGGAGAGGUGAGUGGAACUGCGAGUGUAGAGGUGAAAUUCGUAGAUAUUCGCAAGAACACCAGUGGCGAAGGCGGCGCACUGGCCCGAUACUGACGCUGAGGCACGAAAGCGUGGGGAGCAAACAGG